AUCGCACAUCUGGCUUCAGCCAAUCAGGAUAUUUCUGCUGAUGAUUUUGCACCAUGAUAAGCAAGCCUGGACAUGUUUGAGAACAUGAUGUCAAAUAUAGGAGGGGUUGAAAAGUGUGCAGUGUAAAUCUUAUCGUGUUCAACCAGGCCUGUUUGUUCUGACUGACAUCAUGUCUUAACCCCAGAUGGCUCCACUUCAACCAAGUUCCUCCUCACGCACCUCCUGAGGUUGUAUACAUCUGACACACGCAUGCACGUUCACGCUCCAGUAGAGGAUAGCUGGUGACGAAUUAAUGGUACAGUGAGCUUCUAAUUACCCCUGGAUCACAAUGCUAAGGUGAGGUAGAAAA
ensembl:lncRNA